UACGUAGGCAGCGAGCGUUGUUCGGAGUUACUGGGCGUAAAGGGCGCGCAGGCGGCUCUGAAAGUCAGAUGUGAAAGCCCCGGGCUUAACCUGGGAAUUGCAUUUGAUACUCUGGAGCUUGAGUGUGGGAGAGGAGAGUGGAAUUCCCAGUGUAGAGGUGAAAUUCGUAGAGAUCGGGAGGAACACCGGUGGCGAAGGCGGGUCUCUGGGCAAUUCCUGACGCUGAGGCGCGAAAGCGUGGGGAGCAAACGGG
rnacentral:rRNA from 1 species